UAUAUGCUUUUACGAGCAACCGAUGCGC
rnacentral:sRNA from 1 species